UUUUACCUGGACUGCACUUCUAAUAAUCUCUCCGGGACGAUCCCAAUCUCGCUCGGACGACUUUCAUCUCUCGAAUAUCUCAGUCUCGGGAUGAACAACUUAACAGAGGAAAUACCGUCAUCCCUUUACAAUCUAUCAGCCCUCAAGUCCUUAGCACUCCCUUAUAACCAACUCAAGGGAACUCUACCCUUGGAUAUCGGAAAUGCUCUUCCGAACCUUCAACUCCUUGUUAUGUCUUAUAAUGAGCUCAGUGGGCGAAUUCCAGCAUCCCUGUCCAAUGCUUCCGAGCUAAACUACCUUGAUCUAUCGUUCAAUGCCUUCCACGGCAUGAUACCCUCAAGCCUUGGAGCCUUGCAGAGUCUCUCGUGGCUCGGGCUGGACGGCAAUCGACUCGAAGCCAGGAAGCCUAGUGAUUGGAGCUUCGUUACAGCACUGACCAACUGCACCAGUCUCCAACUGUUGAACCUAGGAUACAAUCUACUUGAAGGCACGAUGCCCAAAUCACUAGUCAAUCUUUCCACUAGUCUUAAUACUUUGGCACUCUAUGACAACCAAAUAUCAGGAAUUAUACCUACUGAGAUUGAGAAGCUUAUCAAUCUAACUGCUGUUGAUGUGAGUGGUAAUGACCUUCGAGGCACCGUUCCCGUAGAAAUUAGUCAUCUUAGGCAAUUACAGUACUUAGAUCUGUCAAAUAAUGUGCUUUCGGGCAAAAUUCCUCCCAGUUUGGGCAACCUAACACAAAUAGACCAGCUCUAUCUCGGCAGCAAUGAAUUUGAAGGAGCCAUUCCGCCGACAUUAAGCAACAUGUUAGUGCUAGAGUUGUUAAAUCUAUCAAAAAAUAGGCUAAGCAGUAGCAUUCCUAAAGAAGUUUUGACACUUUCAUCUCUCACAAACUUCCUUGACUUGUCGCAUAAUUUACUAAACGGUUCAUUACCGUUGGAAGUGGGCAACUUGAUAAAUAUCGGGGUGCUUGAUCUCUCAAAUAACAGGCUCUCUGGUGAGAUUCCAGACACCAUUGGCAAAUGCACAAUCUUGGAAAUCCUUCAUUUAGAGAAUAACUUAUUUCAAGGGUCCAUUCCUCCCUCCAUCAGCAAUUUAAGAGGGCUUAAGGGGCUUGAUCUCUCAAAAAACUUCUACUCGGGCCAAAUACCCGCAUUCCUUGAAGAGCUCCCGGAUCUAACAUUCUUGAAUCUCUCCUUCAACAGUUUCGAGGGUCGAGUGCCAAUGAAAGGGGUUUUUAAGAAUUCGAGCGAAGUCUCGCUUGUCGGAAACCCUAAACUCUGUGGCGGAAUUCCAGAAUUACACUUGCCGAAAUGCACUUCGGGAGCCUUUGCAGCAAAACAUCACUCUGAUUAUAAACUUAAGGUAAUACUCAUUCCCAUAGGUGGAGCAAUUUUGUGUUUGAUUAUAAUCAUGGGCUUGCUUGGGAUACAUCACUUGAUAAAAAACUCCCGGAGAAAGCCACUGUCAAGGUUUUCCUUAAGAAACCGACACAAGAAAGUAUCAUACGAUGAGAUCUUCAGGGCUACAAAUGGGUUCUCCUCAGAUAAUCUGAUUGGCAUGGGAAGUUUUGGGUCGGUUUAUAAAGCCACCAUGAACUAUGAAAAUGUUGGCAUUGUCGCGGUGAAAGUGCUUAACCUUCAACAGCAUGGGGCUUUCAGGAGUUUUAUGUCUGAAUGUGAGGCCCUGAGAAGCAUUCGACAUCGAAAUCUUGUCAAAAUUCUUACAUCGUGCUCUAGUUUGGAUCACCGCGGUAACAAUUUCAUGGCCUUGGUAUUUGAGUACAUGCCUAAUGGAAGCUUAGAAGAGUGGCUACAUCCAAAUGCAUGCGAGAAUAGGCCAUUUAGAAGCCUAAGCCUAAUCCAGAGGAUGAACAUUGCUGUCGACGUAGCCUCGGCAUUAGAGUAUCUUCAUCAUGGAGGGUCCGUGCCGAUUGUUCACUGUGAUCUUAAGCCCGGCAACGUCCUUCUGGACAAUGAAAUGACGGCGCACGUGGGCGAUUUCGGGUUAGCAAAGUUUUUGCGGCAACCGCCUGACGAAUCAUCAGAGCGUUCAUCGACCAGCACUGUGGGAAUCAAAGGAUCUAUUGGUUAUGUUCCUCCAGGUGAGGAGUAUGCAAUAAAAUGCUAACUUUUUUCAUGCUUUACGGCAUUUUAGAAAAAAAUGCAACACAUUUUUAUCUGAUUCCUAACUAUACUAUGUCUAAUAUUUUUUGCUGCUCAGCAAAAAACAAGCGAAUAGCAUAACUUUAAUAAAUAAAAUGAUAAAUUGAGUGUACGAAUUAGUAGAAAAGGGGAAAAAAAUAUUGUAGGAAACAAAAAGGAUACUACAUAUUAGCUACAAAAACCGACAUACUAGAGUUAGAAUCAGCUGCUUGAUGCUUACUACUAAAAACAGAUUAUAUGAUUACUAAACACACAAGAGCAGAAACUUUAUUUAUGCAUAUGUAAUGCUGUUUUAGAGUCAAUUUAUAAACUAAAAGAUCAAAUGUAGUUUUUGUAACUAUGGCUUGGGAACAGUGGGAACCAAAUCCAAAUCGAAAUGAAUUCACCUGACAAUCUUGUGUUGUCUAUUUCCAAUUAACAUAUGUUGUGCAGAGUAUGGAAUGGGCUGUAAACCAUCUAGGCUCGGCGAUGUGUACAGCUACGGAAUUCUUCUGCUAGAAAUGUUCACUGGAAUGAGCCCCGUCGACGACAAGUUCAAAGAUGGACUGAGCCUUCGUGGAUAUGUUCGUGCUGCUGCUGCUUCUCCUGAACAUCUCAUGGACAUGAUAGACAGAAACCUGCACUCAGUUGAUCAAGCUUAUCACGAAGAGCGUGUGCAAGAUUGCAUAGUUUCGGUGUUCGACUGCGGUCUCACCUGCUCGAAUGAAUCACCACACGGACGAUGCGACAUGACGGAAGUCUCAAAGGUGCUGAGUGCAGCAAGAGAGAGGCUUCUUAGCUAAAAGCAGUUUUGCUCCCUAUGCCACGUUUCUUACUAGAGGCAAAUGAAUGUAUGUUUGAACAUCCUCUGCUUUUCCUUUUUUGCAUUAAAUAAAAACCUUUUGUAAUGAAAAUGCCUAGUCCUUAUGGUUUUGAUUACUCCUUUCUAAAAUGAGUACAUCCAAAGGGAGAUACCCACCUUAAAUUUUGCAUCUGUGUACAUUAAUAGCUCCAAAUUCCUAAUUUCUGGCUCAAGUUUAUAAUUGAAGCCUAAUAUAACCCAUUAUUACCAAAUCUGUGUUGAAUGCACUUUUCAUUUUCAACACAAUGCUCCAACCCUAUUUAGAAGGGUGUUAUUUACAAAUGUCUGGUAUAUACCUGCUACUAUCCUUCUAAGACAACACAGUUCUUUAUCCUAUUAAGUUGUUUCUUUUCGAUGAUAAGACAUUUGGAUCGACAAUCUGCACUGAUAAAUAUGAUUUUUGGUAUCAAAAGUGAAUCUAAUUUUUAAAGAUUAUUUUAUGGUUCAUCAUGCGGCCGCAGAAUGAAUUUCAAUAACAUUCUGAAAAUGAAUUAUAGGAUUCAUCAAUUUAAGAUCAAAGGUAUGAACCUUGAUCUGAAGUUAAUUUCAAACAAAAAUUCAAGCUUUGUAGACUAAAAUUGUCGAUUUUGAGAUGCUUCGAUCUGUACAUAAUGUCAGAAAAUAAUAGAAUUUAGUUCCCAGAGAGUUUAAUUUUAACGAAAUCCCAUUUUAAUAUUUGCCACCUAAAUUUGAAUGCUAGUUGUAAAAACUAGUUGCCACCAAAUCUUGAUAGUUGGUGGGGAUAAAUAGUUGCCACCGGAUAUUUUACCUUGGUGGCAAAAUAUUGUUGCCCCGAAUUAUUACAAUUUGGUGGCCAAUGGGAUCCUUUGUAGCAAUAUAUGACAACAAUUUUUGUCGACAUAAUAGAUAUUUGGUGACGACAUUUUUAUAUUCGAUGAUGAUUUUGGAUCCACUAGGUUGAGUUGGACUUAUAAAUAUCCUAAACUAAUGAAGGAAGAAAGAAGAAACUUUAAACUUAUGAAACUAUUAUAUACCAAGAAUAAAAAAACACUAAACAAAAAAAAUAUAGUCGGAGCAACAACAGUAGCAAACUCAAAAAAAGGAAAAAAGGUAAAACAAAAACAAUAACAAUAUCAACAGAAGAAAAAGAAGAAGAAGAAGAAGAAGUAGAAGAAUGAAUAUACUAAUAGAACAAAAAAUAUAUUUGUUGCUUUAUUUUAUUAUCCAUCUGCUAUUGCUAUUUUUCAAAUGGCUGUAGAGGGAGAAAAAAACAGGGGGAAAGCCUUCUGGGUAGGAGUAAGAAAGUUUCGAUAAACAUAGCGAUUAAUAGGUAUGUACAAAAAGAUAAGAGGAAGAGAGAAAGAAAGAGAGAAAAAUCCAACACCACAAUGCGACAAAAGAAGAGAAAAGGAGAAAGAGAAAGUAGACAAAUCCCGCGAUCAGCUAAAUACAUCUUAUAUAUUGUAUUUUUAAAACCUGAUUAUAAAAAUUCAAAUUCUAUAAAUUUUUAUAUAUAAACAUUUUAUAUAGUAUAGAUUGUAUUUAGCAAAAUAAAUUUUAUAAUUUUAUAAUAUUAAAUUUUAGAAAAUAAUUUAGUAUAUGUAAUGUACCAACAAACUGAAUGCUGACAAUAGUUUAUUAUAGUUGAAAAGAAAAAAUAAAAUGAUGGAUGAAAAAUAUUCCGUAUCAUCAGAAUGUAAAAUAAAUUUUAUAGUCUAUAUUUCUAAAAUAUUAUUGUAAAGAUUUAAAUUAUGUAAUUUUUUAUCCAUAACCUUUUAUAUGAUUUCUAUCGUAUAUAUUAAAUAUAAAUUUUUAUUUUAUAAUAUAAAUUAAUUAAAAAUACGCUGUAUGGUAAAAAAAAAUUAGAGAGAUCGACAAAGGAUGAGAGAGAGGAGGAGAUUCUAGAUGGUAAAUUAAAAAAAGGCCCCAUUCCACUCGGACGUGGAGAAUGGGAGAGAAAGGGGGGAAUUGGGAUGAAAAAAAAAAAAUAGUGGGCUCCAUCACAGCCCUCGUAUGUCCAAAUCAAUAUGGGAGCGUCAUGUUGAAUUUUAACUGGAGUUUCUAUUUCUAUAAUAAUAAUAAUAUGCAUAUAUGUUAUUACAGUUUAGAUUGCGUCUAUCGAAUUAAAUUGUAUAAUUUUGUAAUAUCAUAUUUUAAAAAAUUAAGUUAAGGGGAAAUGUUUCGUAUAUUGGGUGUAAAAAUAAAUUUUAUACACUGUAUUUUCAAAAUCUCAUUAUAAGAAUUUUAAUUAUAUAAUAUUUUACACAUAGCUUUUUAUACUGUUUAGAUUCUAUAUAUUAAAUCUAAAUAUUAAUUUUAUAAUAUUCGUCAGUCAAAAAUAGAUUAUACAAGUAAAAAAAUGAAAAAGAGAAUAAAGAGAAUAAAAGAGGAAAGAGAAUUGGAUAGAAAAAAAAGUUAGGCCUCACCCCACUCUCUCCACCCAGAUCAACGUGGAGAAUGGGGGAAGAGGGAAGAACCGAAGAAAAAAAAUAAAAAUAAAAAAAAAUAUAAAAAAAAAAAGAAAAAAGAUGGGCCUCACCCCAACCUGCUUUGCCCAAAUUAACGUGGAACCGCCACAUUGGAUUUUCACUUAAAUUUUAUAUAUAGAAGAUACUAGUAAUGUAUCUGUAUUUUGCUGCAGGUGCAUGGAUAUGUUUAUGAUUUUAUUUAUAAAAUAUAAUAUAUAUUAUUAAGUAUAUAUUUGUAUUAAUAUCUGAUUCCAAAAUAUAGGAUUUUGUUAUGAAUUUUAUUUGUAGGUAUAUUAGAUCCUUAGAGUUUCAUAAAUUUCAACAGUUUCUGAAGCACACCAAUGUUGGAGGAAUUAGAUAUAAUUUUUACAAAAUUUAGACUUCCAACAAAUAAUUGAUAAAAAGUGAAAGAAAUUUUUAAUUGAUUUAAUAGUUGAUAGAUAAUGAGAUUAUUAAAUCUAAUUAAUCUUCCAACCAAUUUUGAAAAAUAACUUACAUUGAAAUAAUUAAAGAUUGGUGAGAUAUUAAUCAAAUUAACAUAGUUAACGUGUCUUAUUCAAAGUAACUUUUAAUCGAACUCAUUGACUGCAUCAAAUAAAUAUACACAUUUCAUACAUAUCAGUAAAUUUGUAUAAUAGGAAUGACAAAAUAAAAGGUUAAUUAGUUCAAAUUAUUUUAUAGUAUUUAGAAUGUCUAUAUAUUAAUAUUUAUAAAUUUUAGAUAUAUUCACUAAAAUAAAACUAUAUUUUUUUAUUGUGUCCAUGAUGCAUCGGAUGCAUUAAUAGAAUGGACAUAUGUCCACAAACAACGCUCCGAUAAAUUAAUAUGAUUAAAAUCUCAAUAAUAAAAUUAAUUAAAUUUGUUAGAUAGUACUUUAAAUUUUUAUAUAUUAAAAAUUAUAAAAUUUAGAUUUUAUGAAAGGGAUAUUUGUCUAGAAAUGGAGGGUGCUCCACAAUGGAUAUGGGGCCUUUAGUGGAGUUCAUUGGUUGCACCUAGUGUACACAUGCUUCUCAUACGCACCAAUAAAUUUAUACAAUGGAGAUGUCAAAACUAAAAAUUUACUUAAUUCAAUUUAUUUUGUAAAUUUUAAAAUAUUUAUAUAUUAAUAUUUAUAAAUUUUAAAUAUAUUCACUAAAAUAAAGUUUUAUUUUCUUAUUACGUCCAUAGUGCACCGGGUGCACAUAUGGAAUGGAUGUGUAUCCACAAACACUACUCUCCAUCACAAAUUAUUGCGUGCACUUUUAGUGCAUGUGAUACAUACAGGCAAAUUUAGAUGAUAAAAAUGUCGAAAUAAAAUUUUAGAUAGAAUUGCCAAAAAUAAAAUUUUAGCAUAAAAUUUUAUUAAUUAAAUUUAUGUUAUAGCAUUUUAAAUAUUUUUAUAUUAAAAUAAAAUAAAAAUUGUUAUAGGAUCUAUGGUACACCAAGAGCAGCGUAAAUAUAGAUGGACAUAUAUCAACACAAAGAUAUUACCCCUUGCACUUUAGUAUAUAGAAAUAUGAUAAAAAUGUCAAAAUAAAAUUUUAGAUAGAAUUGUCAAAAAUAAAAUUUUAGAAUAAAAUUCCAUCAAUUAAAUUUAUAUUAUAGUAUUUUAAAUAUUUUUAUAUUAAUAUAAAAUAAAAAUUGUUAUAGAAUCUAUGGUACACCGAAUGCAACGUAAAUAUAGAUGGGACACGUGUCAACACAUAGAUAUUACCCCACGCACUAGUAAUAAAUAAUAGAUAAUAGAUAGACAGAUAAUAGAUACUAGUAUAGGAUCCGCGCUUUGCGACGGGUACAUAGUAUUUUAGUCAAUUAAUAUAUAUAUACAUAAUUUUUAAAAACUUAAAAUUGAAAAAACUUACAAUGAAAAAUACAAAAUGAACUUAAACAUCCUUUUAUAUAUUAUAAAAGCUAUUUUUUUACUAAUAUUUUUAACUUUCAGUCUUUACAGAGUUAAAGUAUUCUAAUAACUUUACUUAAAAGUUCAAUCAAACUUAAUAGUUUUAGUAGCUAUUUUAUAAAUAAAUUUUUAAUUUAAGAGUUAAAAUUGGAAGAAUUAUUCUAAAUUGCCAAAUAGAUAAAAUCGUCUUCACCUUACAAAAAUUUAUUGGAGAAAGAUGUUAUUAUUUGCACAUGAUGUAUAUUAACACACCAUAUACCCCAAUCUAUAUUAGAGAACUAAUUUCUAAUAUCAAAAUAUAAUUAAAUAUAUCUAAGCUAUGAAGUCUAAUAAUUUAAAUAUAUUCUGAUUUAAAUUUUAAACCACUAUUAGAGAUUUGAAGCAUGUGGUGUAUGUAAUUAUAUACAUUCAGUAUAAAGAAUGCUUAAUUAUGAACCGGGCUCUUUGAAAAGCUCUUUUUCAUAGUAAAAAAAAAAAGAGGAGAAAUUUUUGCUUGCACCUGAUAUAUACUAAUAUUUCAUACAUUGUAAGUAUAUUAGAUGAUUCAUAAAAUACCUAAUAGUUAGUAUUAUAAAAUAAAAUAUAAAAUAUAGUAUAAUAUAUAUUAUAAAAUAUAAAAUAUUUAGUAAUUUAUUAUAUUAUAGAAAUAUAUUUUUUAUUCACAUUUUAUAUCCGGUCUACGGUGCAAUUGGUGCGUCGAAAAUUUCUAUUGAAUAUGUGGCAUGUUUGUAUUAGCUAAAAGCUACAAUGGAGAGGUGGAAAAAGAAUUCAUACGAUGUGGAGGUGGGAAAAUGUGCCACGUAUACAGAGAAAACCGUCAAAUUAUGUAUUGGUAUGGAUUUUAAACCACUAUUAGAGAUUUGAAGCAUGUGGUGUAUGUAAUUAUAUACAUUCAGUACAGAGAAUGCUUAAUUAUGAAUUGAGCUCUUUGAAAAGCUCUUUUUUAUAGUUCUAAAAAAAAGUGGAGAAAUUUUUUCUUGCACCUGAUAUAUACUAAUAUUUCAUACAUCGUAAGUAUAUUAAAUGAUUCAUAAAAUACCUAAGAGUUAGUAUUAUAAAAUAAAAUAUAAAAUAUAGUAUAAUAUAUAUUAUAAAAUAUAAAAUAUUUAGUAAUUUAUUAUAUUAUAGAAAUUUAUUUUUUAUUCACAUUUUAUAUCCGGUCUACGGCGCAAUUGAUGCGUCGAAAAUUUCUAUUGAAUACGUGGCAUAUUUUUAUUGGCUAAAUGCUACAAUGGAGAGGUGGAAAAAGGAUAUGCGGAGAUGGGAAAAGGCGCCACAUAUACAGAGAAAACCGUCAAAUUAUGUAUUGGUAUGGAUUUGGAAUAUAUAGAUGUUUUGAGGAGAAAUGUCACGUCCAUAUGGAAUAUGGACCCCCGAGUUUUUUAUUUUGACAGCUAAACAUCCUAAACAUUAUCAAAUAAUUCAACAGCCCUUCCCCUCUAUGGAAGUUACUAAUUAGAUGUCCAUUUUCGACAAAUAUGUUGCUUGUGGUCUUACGAAGCUUCAAAAUAUAUUAAAAUCUGCCUUUUUUUUUUUAUUUUGACGCUUGAAAAAAGUAAUAAAUUAAAAUGAAAGAUGGAUUUAGUUUGUACAUUCUUCAACCCUUGUAUCUUAGUUUUAUCAUGAAAAGGGAAGAAUACUCUUUUUUUUUUGUGUUUAUGAAACUUUGCAAGAUUAGAUUUGUAAAACAGGUUACCAACAUGGCUUUUUAAUCAGUAACUUCUAUUGAAAAAAUUGACCAAUUAAACUAUUUGAUAAUUUUAGAAAAUCUAGUUGUUAAAUUAAAAAUUAGAGGGUCAUUUGACAAUCGUUUAAAGUUUAGAGUUUUUAUGCAUUAUUCCGUCCAAUUAGACAAGUGUAGAGAAUUAAUGACCUUCUAAUAGAGUAGAUGUAAGAUAUACACCCUAUUUUGCGGUAUAUUAUAGCACUGCUCGUUUUUUUUAGAAAAAAAACUAUUUAUACACUUUAAAAGGAGUGUAUAUUUUAUAUUUCACCCAUUCAAUGAAUGAAAUGUCACUUACUAAUCAUAUAAAGUGACUAGUAAAAAUAUCUCACCUAUUAAAUUGAUAAAAUGUAUAUUAUAUACUCAUUUUUUAUGUAUAUACCUAGCAUUUCUCUUUUUGGAAAAAUUAACAUCUAAUAAUUUGUUCUGUUUCGUCCACUAAUCUCCUUAUUUACUCCCGUCUAGUCUCCUCGUUUACUAACGUCACCGCUAAUGACGCCAACACGUCAACCCGUCACAUCAAAUAACGCCAACCCACUAAUCGCCCACCAAUUUCUUUAUCGCAGAGUGGACAAAAAUUCUAUAGGCAUCUGCCCCAAAUUACCUGUCCCCGCUAGGCCUGCGCCACCCGGUGUCCAUCCUCCACUGCCCUCUCAAUUUGGAGAGAGCAGUGGAACUUCCGGGUGCAUCUGGUGCAUCUAUACUAGGUGCACCAUAAAAUUAUUUUUUGAUUUUUAUUACUUUCAAUUUAUUUUGAAACCAAAUAGAGUGUAAAAUUUUAACUUCUAUAUGGUAACUCCUAAAAAAAUAAAUAAAUUAUUACAUAAAAGUAUAAUUUAAAAAAUUAAAAAUCAAGAAAUAAUUUUAUAGUGCACCUAGUAUAGAUACACCAGGUGCACUGGAAAUUUCCACUGCUCUCCCCAUGUUGGGAGAGCAGUGGUCCAUGGGCGCCGCGUUGCUCCUGUGCCACGCGGUGCCCAUCGGGGACCGGCCCCCCCCCCAAAUUAAGUAAUUUGGGGUCAGUACCCAUAGAAUUUUUGUUCCAACAGACGGCUGUAUUGAAAUAGCAAUGCAGCGCACGAAUUUACUAGUUAGCAGGUAGAUGCUUCUAGUUACUCACUUGGUACAUUUUUUUGCAAUGCACAUAAGUACAGCUACAAUUAGAUGGUCUUAGCUAUGCACUUCAUUCAUUUUUUACAAUGCAUGAAUAUUCAGCUACAAAUAGAGAUAGAUGCUUUUAGAGCUAUUCGCAUAACUAAAAUAUAAAAUAACUAAAUUUGGAAUUUAAAUUUUUAGGAUACUAACUAUUCACGUUUUUAGCCAACGAUCAUUAGUGACAUUUUGCAGUAAGUAUUGUGGUUCUAGGUACAUAAGAAGUUUCACACCACGGUAUUAGUGCCUUACUACAACUAUUGGCUUCUUGACUAAGCUUGGAACUUAGUUUAUUAUAUAUCCAGUUGCCACCAUCAAAUACCAGCGAAGAGCUGGGUGCUGCAGGGAUUGCUAUAGCUUUAGCUUUCUCUUGUCUUAGUCCAUAGAAUGGAAGGCUUCCAUGCACUAAUUUUUCUCAUCAUUCUACUGUAUGUCAUCUCCACCGCCCGGUGCGCCGCUCCCGGGAUAGAACAAGCUGCAUCCGACCGAGCGGCCCUCCUCUCCUUCAAGUCUCUCGUCGAGGACGAUCCGCUCGGAGCGCUCUCCUCGUGGAACAACGGCUCUCUCCACUACUGCAGGUGGCGCGGUGUCUCCUGCGGCCGCCGCCAUCCCAACCGGGUCACGGCCCUCGACCUCAAGUCUCUCCGCCUAACCGGUUUCGUAUCGCCCUCCGUAGCCAACCUCACAUUCCUCCAGAGGAUCGACCUGUCCGACAACAUGCUAGACGGGAGCAUCCCAGAGGAGCUAGGAAGCCUACGCCGGCUGCGAUAUCUCAACCUGAGUGUGAAUUCUCUUCGCGGAACGAUCCCGUCUUCGCUCGGCAAUUGCUCUAAUCUUCAACUACUCAACUUGACAGAUAAUAAGCUCAACGGUGAGAUCCCGCCGACCCUAUCACGUCUUUCCGGUCUUAGAGAGCUAAUGCUGCGUCAAAACAUGUUACAAGGGACGAUCCCUUCCAAUCUAACACAGUGUAAAGAGCUUCAGGCUGUCGAUCUAGGGAAUAACUUUCUCACAGAAGAAAUUCCAGGAGAGCUUGGCUAUCUCCAAAAGCUAACAUUCUUAGCACUCAGCUUUAAUAAUCUUACAGGAGCCAUCCCUGCUGCUUUGGGCAAUCUUGCUCGGCUUCAACGCCUUGAUCUAAAAUUCAAUAGCCUUUCGGGGUCCAUCCCGGAUUCACUUGGGAAUCUCUCUUCCCUAAUCUAUCUUUCUUUCGGCAAAAAUAACUUGUCAGGAGCCAUGCCUCCAUCCUUUGGUAGCCUUCCCUCCUUGAACAUACUUGAAAUCCAAGAUAAUAGCCUCACAGGAACCAUUCCGCCCACCCUCACAAAUCUCUCCUCUCUGAACAUGCUUUUGCUACGAGAAAACAAACUUCAUGGUGAAAUUCCCCACUUUGCAGAACUCCCAUUCCUCUCUCGACUGGACUGCUCUCAUAAUUAUCUCUCCGGGACGAUCCCAAUCUCGCUCGGACGACUUUCAUCUCUUGAAUAUCUCAUUCUCGGGAUGAACAACUUAACAGGGGAAAUACCAUCAUCCCUUUACAAUCUAUCAUCCCUGAAGACCUUAGAACUCCCUUAUAACCAACUCGAGGGAACUCUACCCUCCGAUAUCGGAAAUGCUCUUCCGAACCUUCAAGUCCUUCUUAUGUAUUAUAAUCAGCUCAGGGGCCGAAUUCCAGCAUCCUUGUCCAAUGCUUCUGAGCUCAACAACCUCGAGCUAGCGUUCAAUGCAUUCCACGGCACUAUACCGCCGAGCCUUGGAGCCUUGCAGAGUCUCUCACGGCUCGAAUUGUCCAGUAAUCUACUCGAAGCCAGGAAGCCUAGUGAUUGGAGCUUCAUUACAGCACUGACCAACUGCACCAGUCUCCAAGUGUUGGGUCUAGGAGGCAAUCUACUUGAAGGCAUGAUGCCCAAAUCAAUAGUCAAUCUUUCCACUAGUCUUUUUUUUUUGGAACUCGCCGACAACCAAAUAUCAGGAAUUAUACCAACUGAGAUUGAGAAGUUAAUCAAUCUAACUUUUCUUGACAUGAGUGUUAACGACNUACAAUCUAUCAUCCCUGAAGACCUUAGAACUCCCUUAUAACCAACUCGAGGGAACUCUACCCUCCGAUAUCGGAAAUGCUCUUCCGAACCUUCAAUUUCUUCUUAUGUAUUAUAAUCAGCUCGAGGGGCGAAUUCCGGCAUCCUUGUCCAAUGCUUCUGAGCUCAAUAUGCUUGACCUAUCGUUCAAUGCAUUCCACGGCACGAUACCGCCGAGCCUUGGAGCCUUGCAGAG
rnacentral:lncRNA from 1 species